UACGGGGGGGGUAAGCGUUGUUCGGAAUUACUGGGCGUAAAGGGCUCGUAGGCGGCCAACUAAGUCAGACGUGAAAUCCCUCAGCUUAACUGGGGAACUGCGCCUGAUACUGCUUGGCUUGAGGUCCGGAGGGAGAGUGGAAUUCCCGGUGUAGCGGUGGAAUGCGUAGAGAUCGGGAAGAACAUCAGUGGCGAAGGCGGCCUGCUGGGCUGUUGCUGACGCUGAGGCGCGACAGCGUGGGGAGCAAACAGG
rnacentral:rRNA from 1 species